GAAGAUCAUGGUUAGGGUGAUCUAUUUGCAGAUGGGAAGCACCAGAUGAGCCAUUGAGUUUGACCUGAGCAACCUCUUCUGCUGGAAGGUGGUGUGCUAAGGCAGUGUAAAGAAUUGCACUGUGAAUUAAAGACAGGCUUUGACUAGGCAUAAUGUCAGAAAAACAGGGAGAUUACUGUGUGAGGGACACCAGUGUACCACAGCAGGAACAGAAACAAGUUAAUUCUCACAGUAGUUCUCCUCCUGGACAGAAGUGAAGUUCCCACCAGCGCAAAGUGGUUUUCGGUAUCAGGUCUGCAAAUCAUUUUAUCACAGGACAUCCUAUUGAAAGUUCUUUGAUGAGUGAUGAGAAUCCCACAGUACAACAUAAACCCUUUAGACACUGAAGUUAGACAAAGAAACCAAACUCUGCCACACUGUUACUCAUUCUACAGUCAAAGGGUUUCUUCAGAUCUGCAGCUCACAAAGUCAGGAAGCUCUUGGUCUCCAUGUGCUCUUCAUUAAUUCUUUAGUUAAAACUAGCAGGAGGCUGACAGCUGAAUGUGCACAGAUAAGCAGUACUCUGAGGAAGGACCAAAGAAGGCCCAGAUAUGCUUCUGCCUGAAGGCAGUGACAUAUAUUUUGUGCUGAAAAUGGUUGGCAAUGUGUUUGAUUUUCUUCCUGCUGAAGCUGAUGAAUUCUGUCCCUGUCCUCACUGAGCGCAGGGUGCCUGGCAGGCAGUUGUUGAAUACCAAAAGCCUUUGCUCAUACAGACUGGCCAGGAAGCCUUCUGCCAGCUGCACAAUCACCUCUCUGUGGUGCUCUGUUCCCAAAAGAAGACUGUGGGACUUGGUGGGUGCUCAGA